rnacentral:rRNA from 1 species
CCGAGUUUCCAACUCCCAAACCCCUGUGAUUCCACCUAUACGGAGCCUCGGCGGAUCAUCCCGCGCCCCGUAAAACGGGACGGCCCGCCCGAGGACCCUAAACUCUGUUUUUAGUGGAACUUCUGAGUAAAACAAACAAAUAAAUCAAAACUUUCAACAACGGAUCUCUUGGUUCUGGCAUCGAUGAAGAACGCAGCAAAAUGCGAUAAGUAAUGUGAAUUGCAGAAUUCAGUGAAUCAUCGAAUCUUUGAACGCACAUUGCGCCCGCCAGUAUUCUGGCGGGCAUGCCUGUUCGAGCGUCAUUUCAACCCUCAAGCUCAGCUUGGUGUUGGGACUCGCGGUAACCCGCGUUCCCCAAAUCGAUUGGCGGUCACGUCGAGCUUCCAUAGCGUAGUAAUCAUACACCUCGUUACUGGUAAUCGUCGCGGCCACGCCGUAAAACCCCAACUUCUGAAUGUUGACCUCGGAUCAGGUAGGAAUACCCGCUG